rnacentral:tRNA from 1 species
GGAGAAGUCGCCUAGCUGGUCGAGGGCGCACGACUGGAAAUCGUGUAACCAUGGAAGUGGUUCGAGAGUUCGAAUCUCUCCUUCUCCGCCA